rnacentral:rRNA from 1 species
GUCGCACGAGAAAGGGUAGCAAUACCUGAGUAAAGUGGCGCACGGGUGAGUAACACGUGAAUUAUCUACCUCCGAGUGGGGAAUAACUGAGAGAAAUCUUAGCUAAUACCGCAUAACACUUACGAGUCAAAGCAGCAAUGCGCUUGGAGAGGAGUUCGCGGCAGAUUAGUUAGUUGGCGGGGUAAUGGCCCACCAAGACGAUGAUCUGUAUCCGGCCUGAGAGGGCGCACGGACACACUGGAACUGAAACACGGUCCAGACUCCUACGGGAGGCAGCAGUGGGGAAUUUUGCGCAAUGGGGGAAACCCUGACGCAGCAACGCCGCGUGGAGGAUGAAAUCCCUUGGGAUGUAAACUCCUUUCGAUCGGGACGAUUAUGACGGUACCGGAAGAAGAAGCCCCGGCUAACUUCGUGCCAGCAGCCGCGGUAAUACGAGGGGGGCGAGCGUUGUUCGGAAUUAUUGGGCGUAAAGGGUGCGUAGGCGGUUUGAUAAGUCUUGUGUGAAAUCUCUGGGCUCAACCCAGAGUCUGCACAGGAAACUGUCGGGCUUGAGUAUGGGAGAGGUGAGUGGAAUUUCCGGUGUAGCGGUGAAAUGCGUAGAUAUCGGAAGGAACACCUGUGGCGAAAGCGGCUCACUGGACCAUUACUGACGCUGAUGCACGAAAGCUAGGGGAGCAAACAGGAUUAGAUACCCUGGUAGUCCUAGCCCUAAACGAUGAUUGCUUGAUGUGGAGGGUACCCAAUCCUUCCGUGUCGAAGCUAACGCGAUAAGCAAUCCGCCUGGGGAGUACGGUCGCAAGGC